CCCGUCGUGCUGCCCGAGUCCGAAAACCCCCGCCUCGUUCAUGCGUAAACCCGACCCGGUCGUGCCUCCGCCCCGCGACCCGAACGACCCGCGUCCGCACGCACACAACACCUACGCCCAAGCCGAGCCGCUCCUCUCUGCGCCGCGCCUGCCUGGGCCGUGUCCGAGCCGAUCCCAGCCUUCAAUCCGAGCGGGUUCCUGCUUCUCUAGCCGAGUCGACCCGUCUGUCCUUGAGCCGCCAGUCUGCCCCGGUCCCUUUACACCUAUUUUGGAAAACCUUGGACCAAUUGACUGGAGCGUUGGAUUUCUGCAGCAAGGGCACAAGCGUUACAACCUCGACCUAGAGUAAGUUGUCUCAACUAUAUUUUUUGGUCUUGGGUCAUUUGGCGAGUUAAUCAUGAAAGUUGGCGUAUUGAACAGUUAGGACCUCGCUGCUUGGAAAGCACAUUUUCUGGCUGUUAGUACUCGUCGAUCAAAUCUCCAGGUAGAGGCCGAGGUAGGGGCAAAGGCAAGCUGGCGAGCGACCAGAAGUGACCGUGGCGAGCCAUAGGGAUUUCUGCUUCCGCUUACACCCCGUUUUAGACAUUUAGUAC